rnacentral:rRNA from 1 species
UAGGGUUUGAUCCUGGCUCAGAUUGAACGCUGGCGGCAUGCUUUACACAUGCAAGUCGAACGGUAACAGGCCGCAAGGUGCUGACGAGUGGCGAACGGGUGAGUAAUGCAUCGGAACGUGCCCAGUCGUGGGGGAUAACGCAGCGAAAGCUGCGCUAAUACCGCAUACGAUCUAUGGAUGAAAGCGGGGGACCGUAAGGCCUCGCGCGAUUGGAGCGGCCGAUGUCAGAUUAGGUAGUUGGUGGGGUAAAGGCUCACCAAGCCAACGAUCUGUAGCUGGUCUGAGAGGACGACCAGCCACACUGGGACUGAGACACGGCCCAGACUCCUACGGGAGGCAGCAGUGGGGAAUUUUGGACAAUGGGCGCAAGCCUGAUCCAGCAAUGCCGCGUGCAGGAAGAAGGCCUUCGGGUUGUAAACUGCUUUUGUACGGAACGAAAAGGCUCUGGUUAAUACCUGGGGCACAUGGCGGUACCGUAAGAAUAAGCACCGGCUAACUACGUGCCAGCCGCCGCGGUAAUAC